AUUACAUUUUCUUGUUUGUAGUGACAUGCAUCUUGAUUUAGAUCAGGAAAUGGAGAAACAACGUUGAAGACAAUCAAGCAAAAAAAAAAAAAAGAAAAAAAAAACAGACAGAAACAGAAUAUCAAAUUUAUUCUCUUUUCAAAGCCAACCAAUGGAAGAACAGAAAAACAAAUAUAUUCCCAAUCCCAAUCAGUACCUUUAUCUUCAGAGGAAAUCAAAAUUGAGGAAAGUGCUCUAUACUGAAAUUCCUGACACCGUUGACACUGUUGACCAAACAUAUCUUCUACAAAAAGUUUUACCAGAACAAUGGAAUGUACCUCCACCGGCGGCAAUUUAAAGCAGUUACAGGAAUAAGUCACCAGUUCAACAUAAAAGACAAGCGCAAUUUGAAGAAAGAUUUGAUUGAGGCUGUCAAAUUCACUGGAUCAUGGAUUGUUACUUGUGGAAUAGAAUCUGGAGUUAUUCAGUUUAUUGAAGACGCUGUUAAUGAUCAUAUUACUUCGACAAAAAUCUACAUCCCAAUAGUUGGAAUUUUGCCAAAAAGAGUACUAGAUGAAGUAAAUUGUUUUUGUUUUAUUAAAUGUUUUAACAAAAUAGAAAAAUAUAAACAAUGAUUCAUACAAGUAAAAGAAUAUAAAGAUAUCAGCUCAAA